UACAGAGACUGCAAGCGUUAUUCGGAUUCACUGGGCGUAAAGGGUGCGCAGGCGGCCAGGUGUGUUAGGCGUGAAAGCCUGGGGCUUAACCCCGGAAUUGCACCUAAAACUACUUGGCUAGAGCAUUGGAGAGGGUAGCGGAAUUCACGGUGUAGCAGUGAAAUGCGUAGAUAUCGUGAGGAACACCAGAGGCGAAGGCGGUUGCCUGGGGCUUUGCUGACGCUGAUGCGCGAAAGCGUGGGGAGCGAUCCGG
rnacentral:rRNA from 1 species